UACGUAGGGUGCGAGCGUUAAUCGGAAUUACUGGGCGUAAAGCGCACGCAGGCGGUUGGUUAAGUCAGAUGUGAAAGCCCCGGGCUCAACCUGGGAAUUGCAUUUGAAACUGGCCAACUAGAGUACGUGAGAGGGGGGUAGAAUUCCAAGUGUAGCGGUGAAAUGCGUAGAGAUUUGGAGGAAUACCAGUGGCGAAGGCGGCCCCCUGGCACGAUACUGACGCUCAGGUGCGAAAGCGUGGGGAGCAAACAGG
rnacentral:rRNA from 1 species